AACGUAGGAGGCGAGCGUUAUCCGGAUUUACUGGGUGUAAAGCGCGUGCAGGCGGUUGGAUAAGUUGGGUGUGAAAGCUCCUGGCUCAACUGGGAGAGGUCGCUCAAGACUGUCUGACUAGAGCGUGGUAGGGGAAGGCGGAAUUCCGGGUGUAGUGGUGAAAUGCGUAGAUAUCCGGAGGAACACCAGUGGCGAAAGCGGCCUUCUGGACCACGACUGACGCUCAGACGCGAAAGCUAGGGGAGCAAACGGGAUUAGAAACCCUAGUAGUCC
rnacentral:rRNA from 1 species